CCUACGGUGGGCAGCAGUGGGGAAUAUUGCACAAUGGGGGCAACCCUGAUCCAGCUACGCCGCGUGAAUGAAUAAGUAUUUCUGUAUGUAAAGCUCUAUCAGCAGGGUAGAAAAUGACGGUACCUGAUUAAUAAGCCCCGGCUAACUACGUUCCAGCAGCCGCGGUAAAACGUAGGGGUCAAGCGUUAUCCGGAUUUACUGGGUGUAAAGGGGGCGUAGACGGCAUCACAAGUCUGGAGUGAAAUGCCGGGGCUUAACCACGGAACUGCUUUGGAAACUGUGCAGCUCGAGUGCAGGAGAGGUAAGUGGAAUUCGUAGUGUAGCGGUGAAAUGCGUAGAUAUUAGGAGGAACACCAGUGGCGAAGGCGGCUUACUGGACUGUAACUGACGUUGAGGCUCGAAAGCGUGGGGAGCAAACAGGAUUAGAUACCCUAGUAGUC
rnacentral:rRNA from 1 species